UACGUGGGAUGCAAGCGUUAUCCGGAUUUAUUGGGCGUAAAGAGUUCGUAGGCGUUUUUCUAAGUUUCGUCUGAAAAACCGAGGCUCAACCUCGGGACCGGAUGAAAUACUAGAAGAAUUAGAGUCGGUUAGGGGGUACUGGAAUUGACAGUGUAGCAGUGAAAUGCGUUGAUAUUGUCAAGAACACCAAGGGCGAAGGCAAGUACCUGGGACCGCACUGACGCUGAGGAACGAAAGCUAGGGGAGCGAAAGGG
rnacentral:rRNA from 1 species